GUCACUGGACUUGGACUCAGGGCUUGAGUGCUCAGGGCCUGAGUGCUGUCCCUCUGCUCUCCAGCUCAAGGCUAACACUCUGCCACAUUUGAGCUCUAACAUAACUCACAACUCUGUUGCCAGCACUCUGCUGGCUGAUUAGAGAUGAAACUCU